GCCUAGUUAGCUUAGUUGGUAGUGCGUCUCUGCCUUGUAAGCGCUAGGCCGCGGGUUCGAUUCCCGCCCGGGGCG
rfam:Asian citrus Psyllid, Diaphorina citri - Florida Strain, whole genome shotgun sequence.